rnacentral:rRNA from 1 species
CCUACGGGAGGCAGCAGUGGGGAAUAUUGCGCAAUGGGCGAAAGCCUGACGCAGCGACGCCGCGUGAGGGAUGAAGGCCUUCGGGUUGUAAACCUCUUUCAGCAGGGACGAAGCGAAAGUGACGGUACCUGCAGAAGAAGCACCGGCCAACUACGUGCCAGCAGCCGCGGUAAUACGUAGGGUGCAAGCGUUGUCCGGAAUUAUUGGGCGUAAAGAGCUCGUAGGCGGUUUGUCGCGUCGGCUGUGAAAACUCGGGGCUCAACCCCGAGCCUGCAGUCGAUACGGGCAAACUAGAGUGUGGUAGGGGAGACUGGAAUUCCUGGUGUAGCGGUGAAAUGCGCAGAUAUCAGGAGGAACACCGGCGGCGAAGGCGGGUCUCUGGGCCAUAACUGACGCUGAGGAGCGAAAGCGUGGGGAGCGAACAGGAUUAGAUACCCUGGUAGUCCACGCCGUAAACGUUGGGCGCUAGGUGUCGGGGACCUUCCACGUCUUCGGUGCCGCAGCUAACGCAUUAAGCGCCCCGCCUGGGGAGUACGGCCGCAAGGCUAAAACGUCAAAGGAAUUGAACGGCUGNGAGUGCGAGCGACGACGAGGAGAGG